CGCUAUCACUCCUACGGGAGGCAGCAGUGGGGAAUAUUGCACAAUGGGGGAAACCCUGAUGCAGCCAUGCCGCGUGUGUGAAGAAGGCCUUCGGGUUGUAAAGCACUUUCAGUAGGGAGGAAGGUAGUGUAGUUAACACCUGCAUUAUUUGACGUUACCUACAGAAGAAGCACCGGCUAACUCCGUGCCAGCAGCCGCGGUAAUACGGAGGGUGCGAGCGUUAAUCGGAAUUACUGGGCGUAAAGCGCAUGCAGGCGGCCUGUUAAGUCAGAUGUGAAAGCCCGGGGCUUAACCUCGGAAUUGCAUUUGAAACUGGCAGGCUAGAGUCUUGUAGAGGGGGUAGAAUUUCAGGUGUAGCGGUGAAAUGCGUAGAGAUCUGAAGGAAUACCAGUGGCGAAGGCGGCCCCCUGGACAAAGACUGACGCUCAGAUGCGAAAGCGUGGGGAGCAAACAGGAUUAGAUACCCCUGGUAG
rnacentral:rRNA from 1 species